UUCAGAGAACAAUCUUUUUAAAUUGUAUCUUUUCCCACUUAGCUUCCUGACUGGAUGACACCCAACCCCCCGCCCUCCCUCAAAAAAGUCAUCUGAACUCCUGUGGCAUGAAAGCUGAGGUAAACAAGGAUUUUUCAGCUAAAGCUUCAUCUCUUACCAUUUAAUAAAUGGAGAUAAAGGCAAAAUAAUCUCUCUUUUAUUAAGAGUUCAAGCUUCCAGUCAAAGCGCUAGUACCGCUUACAGCUUACUGUUGGAACCUCCAGGAUAAGAU